GUGCCCGCAGGGCCAGGCUGCUGCAGAGAACGUGCUUCCCCGUGCUCUGCCCCCCCCCCCCAGCUCCUCCCCUGGUCCUCCUUUUACUCUGUCGUAAGUGUCCUGGGUUCAGAGAAACUGCGCUGUGUGCUGAAGAUGUGAGUGACUUGGCUGUUCCUAAUAACUCAGAGGCAGGAGGACGUGAAGCGACACACGACUACAUGCGUGCAGCUACCAGCGGGCCCUGAUCGGCUUCUCUUUCGACCGUGGGAUGCUGAGCAUAGGCCGGCUGUCAGGAGGGGUUAGAGAACUCUUCACAGGGGCCCAAAAUAACGAAAGCAGGCUUUUCCAGGGUAAAAUGCAGUCAGCCUGUGCAAGGAGGUGCUGGGAGGCUGCCGCCUGCGAACGGAAUGACACGUUUGAGUUCAUAGUGACGGCGCUGAGUAUUUGGGAAGAGGAGAGUGUGACAGCUGGUGUCUUAUGUCUCCGCUGAUUCUGUCGCCUCCAUGGUUCGCUGUCGCUCCUGGUGACAGUGACCGGAGCAGGAUGGCUCUGCCUCAGUGCACACCCAGGAAGCCGGCCUUCCUGUCUGGCCUUUCCUCCCCAUCCUCCUCCUGCUGAGUGUGGCCCAUGUGCUCUGUAAUACAUGAAAUCCUAGUGUUUCCUGGAGAGCUAGUGCUUGGGGCUAGAGGCUGAGUGUGUGAGUAGGGUCUCCAAGGAGGGGCUCUGUCUAGCAAAGAACCAGACAGCUCUGAGUCGCCAGCUACGGUGGAUAGCGGUGUCCAGGCGUGUCUGCCAGUGUCCAGGCGUGGGUGCCCCGGGCCCUGAGCUCUGCAUAGCUGUGUCCUGUCAUUUCCACAUGGGGACUCAGGAGAUGGGGAGAGGACUGGGACAAAGGGAAGACCCAUUGCAACUGACUGCUGAGAGCAUGACCUGCUGUGUCAGAAACACAGGCCAACAUGGCUGGCUUUCCACAAGGUCAGGAAGUAGCCACUAACACUGAGAGGGAGUCUCAGCGACAGUGAUUCACCAGCUGUCUGCUCUGCUUGGGUCCUCAGUUGAAGGAAACAAGGCUCUCAUUCCAAUCUUAGUUACUCAGACCAACUCUCAGAUCACAUCUUACACACAUCACACACUGCAAAUCUAUCAUAACCUAUCAUCUAUCUAUCUAUCUACCUAUCUACCUAUCUAUCUAUCUAUCUAUCUAUCUAUCUAUCUAUCUAUCUUAUCUACCUAUCAUCUAGCUAUCUUAUCUAUCAUCUACCUAUCAUCCAUCUAAUAUCAUCUGUCACCUAUCAUCCAUCUAUCUAUCAUCUAUUGUUCUAUCAACUAUCUAUCUAUAAUCUAUGUAUCUAUCAUCUACCUAUCAUCUAUCUAUCAAUCAUCUAUCUAUCUAUCUAUCUUAUCUACCUAUCAUCUAUCUAUCUUAUCUAUCUAUGUGUCUAUCUUCUAACUAUCUAUCAUGUAUAUAUAUAUGUAGCUUACAGAAUGGCUGCAAAGGGUUAAGAGGCAAGAAUCUUCCAAAAACCUGGGCAGCGAUUAGGAGUACAGGAGAGUCUGGGGAGGGGAAGGGAGGUGAGAGGAGCAAUCGUGUGGAGGCCCCAGGCGACAUGCUUUGGCUGCUGCUAUGGGGUGAAGGGUCAUAGCUGAGCGGGAGUAAUGAGGUAAAGCAAAAGACAGGACCGGCCACACAAAUGAGCAGAUGGAUGGAUGGACACCAGGUCAGGACGGGUGAGCAAGAGGACAGCAGCUAGAGUGGGCUGCAGCCGCAAGAGGAACAGAUGAGCUGACGCCCUGGAGCAUGGAGGCUUCUCCUCCUUCGUCCUUGAUGCACAGUGACAGGUGAGGGACCUGGUGACGGGCAGCGCUCGUCGGGUUCCACCGCUUUGUAGGGUCCAGGUGAGGGAGACUUUCAUGUGUCCAGUGAGUUCUUAGGCCUGGCUCUCCUGAUGACUGAUGUGUCCAUGCCCACCUGUGGCCCAUUUCCUGUUCCAAGUCCCCUUGGUCAGUGCUGGGGUACUGGGCAGAUGGUGCUUUGCACUCGUGCCCAUUCAGGAGUGUGAUCCUCCGACCAUCAAACAGCUUCAAAGCUUGUAAAGCGAGUCUCCCGGAGCACAGCACAGGCUGAGCACCCACUGUUCUACACUGUGGAGUCGCUGAGGGCAGGGAGCAGCCUGGUCUCCACAGCUCGGUCUGGGAUGGGCGUUCUGUGUCUCGGUGAGCGAGCGCAAGGCCAGGCACCGAGAAGUCAGGGUGGAGGGUUGUCUCUGCAGGUAAGAGCGUUCUUCCAGAGGACCUGGCCUCAGUUCCCAGGGGAGGCUGCUCAGCAUGGGGAGAAGUGCUCUGCACCCACUGGAAUGGUGUUCCGCCCUGAGGCUGGUGCUCCACCCUGAGGUUGGUGCUCUGCCCUGAGGCUGGUGCUCUGCACUGGGGAUGGUGCUCUGCCCUGGGGAUGGUGCUCUGCCCUGGGGAUGGUGCUCUGCCCUGGGGAUGGUGCUCCACUCUGAGAUGAAAGACUUCCAGAAGGAAGGGCGUGGCUUGGUGGCCCCUUGAGAUCCUUUCUGUGUGUUAAGUCCACGUGCUUUGCAUAAGCUCGGUCUGGAAUCGAAGCCUGACCUAACUACCGGUUCUAGACUGGUGACUCUGUGUUUUAGACUUGGGAGAAAGCAAUAGCGACUCAGCGUCUGUAACAGAAAAGGACGGAAACCACUCAGCAGUCUCAGCUGCGGUUAUCUGGUGCUGCUGCUCUGGCACCUCCAUUGUGAGGUCUCUGAGGAGGUAUUUUCCUAAUGAAAUGUUAAGGUAGCGUGGGCGCCUCUAAGCAGGAAGCCAUUUCCUCCGUUUCUGCGGUCUCCUUAUUUAGCACUGUAAAAAUAACUCAAUGUUUGUAAAAUCAGCUUAUUUCCCAGCACAGAUCCGGAGCAGUUAAAGAUGCCACCAAGUGGAGGGCUCAGGCACAAAAGAAAAUGUUAUGGAGCCAGAGGAGGACGUGCUGGGUUCCUAGAGCCUGUGUUAAAAGUCGGACAUAGUGGUGUGCAUCCAGAAUUCCAGAAGUAGGGAGGCAGAGACAGGGGGAUACCUGGAACUCACUGGCUGAUCAUCCUAGUCUACCUCAGAAACUUUAGGCCACAAAACCCAAAAUGGACAGCGACCGAAGAAGUCAACCUCUGAGGCCCACCUCCAACACACACAGAAGAGGAAUGUUUUGCUUUAGGAGAAUUAAAUAUUUGGGGGUUUUAAAUGUUUUCCUUAAAAUCCCUACGAGCAUUUAGAGACAGCUGGACAUGGGUGUGUGAGGCUGAAACCGGAGCGAUUACUGAGGAUGCAGUGUGCACACUGUUGUUCCAGCAAAGGUUGUCUGGCCCUGAAAGCCGGAUAGCGGCUCUGUCCAAAAUGCUGUGCUCCGUCUUCCAUCCUCCCACAGCGAUGGGUGCUCUUAGAGGGAAUGCAGUGGUGGGUUCAGCUUUAAGGCGGUAAGCAGAAAGGACAGAGCUCCCAGCCUCGGCCCCUCAGCAGUGAUUCUCUGGGCAGUAAACAGGAAGGAGGAGGCCUAGGUACGGUUGUCAGAAAGUGCAGCGCUGGCUCUUCAUUAACAUUUCAGCCUGUGGUUUGUAAGGCCCCGUAGUGGGCACUGCCCGGCUUGUUAACAGUGGCAGGGCGGCGUGUGGUCCCACCGUGUGCACCUGGAAGGCUGCUGGUGUUUAAACGCUGCUACCGGUGUCUGGGUAAGCCUGUCUCCACCCUCUGAGUGUUUUUAAAACACGAAGCACGGCCUGUCGGGCCUUUGGUCGCCUCCUGCUCCAUCCUGUCUGAACACAGCACAGCAGAGCGUUCUCUGUGUGGUAGCCAGGGUCCCUGCCAGCCGAUGGUGGGUGGGAGACCACCACUGCUUUGCACAUUUUAGGGACGAACGUGUGGCUCAGCCAAAUCUGCUCACUAUAAACUCUAACGUCUGCACAGGGCGGAGCUGCCUCUGGCGCCUUCACUGAGUGUGCAGCGCGGGGGUGCUGAGUGGAUUCACAACACAGGUCGGGUCGUCCUCCUACAGAGCCUGUCAUCACCCCUGGUGCCCUCGGCCCACGUUACACAAUCACUUCCUGUCCCCUUCCUUCCCCAGCCACUGGCAGCCACCAUUCUGUGACCUCUCUGUGUGAAUUCUGACUUCAAGUACCUUACAGACAUGAAGUCAUUAAAAAUAAGACUUUAAAAAUAA